UACAUGUAAAUUUUUACUCCAAACUGGAUGCUUUCAGAAAUGUAACACUCAAAAGCAACAUUCUUUGGGUUACCUCUGUGCAUUUUAACCACAAAUCUUCUGUUUGACAAAGUCAUUAAUCAUGUUUACCAUAGUGCUUCUUUUUCAGGUAGGUACAUCACAAACCAACAUGACCAGAAGGCACUCUAGGUGAAGAAAUUACCUUUAAAACAUGUCUCCAGUCUUUCUUUUCUUUUUCUUUUUCUGGGUAUAUGGAGUCAUGCAAACACAAGGAGGGAGAUUUAUGUAUCCCUUUUGGUCGAUACAGAUUUCUUUCCAAUUAACUAUUUUUAUUGUAUCAAUUGUUCAUUUAAUGAGUUCUGCUACAUAUUACAUCACAAAUUCAUAUAAAGUUUGACAUUUCAAUUACAUUUAUCCAGUAGCAUUCACAGCAUAGUGAGUAUAGUUAGAUGAUAUGAACAGACAAUUAUGCAAUAAUUAACUAUAGAGUUAUUACAUUGCAGAAAGUUAUAUGGCUGCAAUACUUGCACCCCUUGAAAUUCAGGCUUGAUACAUACAUUUCCAUAAUUCUGUGGGUUUUUUUAAUUCUGAGGUAUUUAUGUCAUAAUUACUUUCCAUCAAAUACAUAUUUUUCAACUGAUAAAUAAGAGUCAAUUGAAGUGUCAAAAAGUAUACCUUCAGUGAAGCUAUAUAGUAGCUGCAGUGCAGGUACAGUCCAAUUACCAUAAUUAUACCAGAAAGUAUAUAUUUUAAAAAAUAAUCAGUAUAGAUUUUCCAUUCAAAAUCAAAUGUAGAUUUUCUUCAGCAAUGACAAAGAACAUCGUAUUCAGAGAGAGGUCAUGUUGGUAAAACUGACAGUAGCUACGCAGUAAUAGUGCCUGAUCUUUUCAGAAUCAACCCACAAUUUGCAAAAGCACAGCACAAGCCCACAUGUUAUGAAAAUCUGCCCCCUUUGAAAAAAGAUCAGUGAGCAACAAGAAAGUCACUGGUAAUUGAAAUAGAAAAUUUGAGAGAGUAUGUUAAGAACAGAUGAGGACGAAAUCUGUAAAAUGGAUGGACAAUUUUCCUCAGUGGGUGGGUCACAAUGUGAUGUAAGUAGAAGACCUCAUUUUUCAGUUAGAAGAAUCUAUGGUAGUUUUCUCUGUUUUCUGACAUGAACACUGCAAGCUCGAUCGCAGGGGUUGACUGAGUGUUCAAUGCAUGUUUGUGCAGUACAGGUUGUGCAAUGCUGGCUAGCGCUCUUGAUUGCAGAAAAGCCUCUGAGGUCAAGCAAAGCUUUAAGCAGUGAUGUCAUUCACAAAACCUCAGGGAUUUGUACAAAAAGAAACACAGCUAACAAACAUUUUGCAAUGAGGGCAGAAAUGUCAGAAGAAGUUCUUCACAGAAGAGAAUUAAAAUAACCCAAUGGAAAAGGCACAGUUCAAACUAGGACGAUACUCGGCUGGUGUGUUGUGGAAUAGCUUCACUGAGGUUACAGGACCGUUUCCUUUCUUCCACCAGCUCAGCGUGGCCUUUCUUUCUUCUCCAGUUCUUUUCUCGAUCAUCUGCACCUAAACAUGCCCCUGUGCACCACCUGUUUGUUGCCAUUCUGGCCCGGUAAUAUGAACACACACUUUACAGAUAGUUACUGAGAAAUGUCCACUUCUGCUCAAGGAAAAUACAUGAUUAAAUAACCAUUUUUCAAAGCUGUCACUAAACUUGUCCUAUCCUCAGUACCAGUCAUACCUGUUUAUCACAAAUGAAAGGUCUUGGGAAGGGCAGGGAAGCAUUAUUAUUCAUAAGCAAAUUCUUCCUGUCUCCAGGUUACGUGGCACACUUAGCACACAGAAAGCUUUUACUUAAAAGUCAGAUUUCAGGUAACAAGGGAACCUUAAUUUAAAUGGUUGAUAUAAAAAAGUUUUUUUUUUUUAAUAUAAAAAAUUCUCUUAUUUUCUGGUCAGUUUAUUAUUUAAUAUAUUAAUCAUAGCAAUCGAUAUAAUGAACAAGCAUGUUGAGAUUGUUUAUUUUGCAUUGCCUUAACUAACUAAAACCAAGCCUUGGUAUCAAAACAGAAAGAUCCCCUCGUUAUGAAGAAGGCAGCUGAAAUUUGUGCUAAUCUUAAGAGUCAUCAGCAAAAUCACACACUGUGAUACAGUGGUUACCUGGGGCACCUUGCAAACAAAUUAAAAUAUGCAGAACUCAAAUAUUUAAAACGAAACAGGAUUACAGAAACUGAACUGUCACUUCACUAUAUGCUGAAAUCUGGUAUCACUUUAACAUUCUUAAUACCACUAUCAAUAACAAUUAUACUAGACACCAACAGAGAUAAGAUGCUUUGUUAAACUAUAUGAGUGAAGUCUUACAGCUGUCUUUCAAAUAAUUGGCAGGCUUAAGAGCAUAGGGUUUCCAUCUACAUGGAGUCAUUGUUCCACUAAUUUAAAGACGUCAAGAUAUCAGCCAUGGUUUUCAGUUAAGGCCACAACAAACGCUAAUUCAGGUAAAAACUCAUGAUCUGAACUACAGUAAUUUGUUAUAACAGACUACUAAUGAGAAAACCCCAAAUCUCAGCAUAUGGAAAAUCCAACCAACAGCUACAGGUGCAUGAACUUGAAAUUUUACCUCAUGUCUAAGCAUUGUCCAUCACAUCUCUAGGUUCACUUAUUGGCCAGAAACAACUCAGAAGACCAAGCACAAAGCUGUAAGAGGUAAGGUAGCCUAAGUCUGCACAGUCCCUCUCAGGAAAUAGCAGGAGUUACAUCAAACAGGAUGCAAAAAAGUGUGAGAGCUAAGGUGAGAAAAAUCACUCUAGUAAGAACAGAAGUUUCAGCAUUCUGCAGAAGUUUGAGUGAGUGCAGAGUUUAUCGAAGAUGCACGAACUGAAAACACUGCAGUAGCAAACUGAGUUUCAGAGUGAACGGUUUGAAUUUAUUUCCUUUGAUUACCUGAAGAGCUUAAUGCACUGCAUUUGUGUGCAUGUGUGCCUGAGCUCUCUUCUGCAAGCAAGGCUUCCUUCCCUCCAUUUGUCAGCUCCAGAAGCAGUGAAAUCCGACAGCAGUUUUUAUUCUUACGAAUGGCACUGCACAAAUAGUAACGGUUUUCCUGUCUUCAGCCCCGGCUACACAAAACCUGUUCCAAAAGUGCCAACUACCCCUGCAAUUUAAGUGUAUGCUAGCUUCCCCUUCUCACAGUUCCAAGGUGCAUUCUCCUCUGCCUUCAGAAAUUUGGGUUAUUAACAGUUGUCUCCCUGUGAAUAUUUCUUUCCUUUCUGUGUCUAAUUGCUUUUGGAACUCAUUUAUAUUUCUGUUAUCAACAUCAUGUGUCAAUGAGUUCCAGAGUUUACUUCUUCAUUGUGUAAAAUCUCCUUUGGUGUUGGUUUGUUUUUUGGUUUGUUUUUUUUUUUACUGCCCUACCUCAGAAUUUCAUGCUGCUGCUAUAAUUCCUCACAGUUAAUUUUCUCCUUGCAUUCCGGUUUUUACUCUUUUUGCUGAGUCACUUCUUCUUCAGGCUGAAGCGUUUCUGGUCUAUUUAAUCUUUCCUCUUACAGGAUUCAAAUAAGUAAUCCAUGAUGCACCAGCUCUUGAAAUUCUUGCUUCUUUGCAGGAUAGAAUCCAAAACUACUGAAGGCAGUCCAUAUACCACACGGACUUCAGACAGCAGCAUUUGGUCACAACUACUCAUUAAGCCAAAAUAGCACAGGAGUUCUUACAAUUAAAACAACCACCACCACUUCGGAGCUGCCCAGCAAAAGUAGCGUAACCUCUGAGACAGAACAGCAGAAAGAAGCUCUUAAAGAAGUGAGUAAAAAAAAAGACUGCUAAAAAAAAAAAAAAGAGAAGCUAAUACAUGUUUCAUAAUACACAUUAUUGUUUCAGUUGCUUUUCUUUCUUCUUUACUUUUUUUUUAUUUAAGGAAAGAAAACUUCAACGGCAUCUAGAACAUUCAGAGUAAAGAAGGUGAAAUAACAUUUGUUUAAAGUACAGAAAAAUGUGGGAGUAAAUAUGAAACCAAAAGCUGUCAUAGUCUCUGAAAAUGCUGUGAGAGAUGUAGUGGCAUAAACCAAUCUGACAAAACUAUGCUUUUGGAGACAGAAAGUCAAGCUGUUAUAUGAUUACAAAUUACUCUAGUGAAGAGGAGUACUCAUUUGUCAGAGCAAUCAGUGCUGGACAUGGCACUACACCUUUGGAGUACAUUUAUUAUGAGUCACCCAUGCUAGUAGAUACAGAUCAUAAACCUUUUACUGCAGUCUUCGAAGACAGCUUGGAGUGGCACUCUUUGCUGCUUUCAGAAACCCAAGCCAAAGCUCUAGAUACAUAUCUUUGCUUUGACAUAUACUGCACAGGUAUAUUUAUCUGUAAAAUGCUUAAUUGCUGCAUGCAUCUUUCCACCAGAAAAAAGCCUGUAUACAUAGAAUGAAAGUGUGAUGAAUGAUUUUGCAGUCCAAACACACUUCACUGUUUCCAGACAAAAAAGGCAAUUUAUCCCCGCAAGUUACAGAUGAAGAUUCUUCAAGAUAUUCGCACAGCACUGUAUCAUGGGGAAGCCCAAACUGAUAUUCACACAGCACUGUAUCAUGGGGAAGCCCAAACUUCCCAAACAAAGCUGAAUAAAGCUUUUAGCUUUUAAUAUUUUGAAGAAUAUUUUAAGGAAAUUAUGAGACAGGUAGAGAGGGAUAUGUAUCUGUCUAAGUGAGACAGUGUAUUGUAGUUGCUGCUUUAUAGAGAAAACUUCAUGAGUUUCAGAGCAACCUAUAGAAUGACAACCUACCUAUAUAAUUUUGUCCCAACCUUCCUUAUACGUGCGUGCCUUUCUGCAGGGACAGUUUGGAACUGCAGCGAAUCAGUGAAGAAUCACAGGUUUUAAUUUCCGUAUUGUAUCAAUACAGAAGCAGGGUAAGUGCUAUGACAAUCAGAGCCACAGGCCACACCGAAACACAGAUCUGAAUUACUUUGGAGUCAGCAAAAGUAAUGCUUUUGGAGUCAGUAAAAGUAAAAUUUCUUUUACUACGUUCUGGGCUAUGUUGGCCAGAUUUAGACCGGUGUUAGUCAAAGCAGAAUUUCACCCACUGUAUGAUUAGAAGUAGAAACGGGUACUUCCACCUAACAGAUGGGGAACACAAAUUUAAGUAAUGGGAACACACACAUGGAAACUGCUGACACCUCUCAGGAAAUUUGCAUCACUGUGGCAGAAAGUUAGGACUGAUUCAUUCCACUUGAAAGGAAACAAUUACCUUUAGAUUAUUACUCAUCGGUAUCCCAGGAUAGGCUUCUUGUAUGAUCUAUGGGCAAGCCAACUUAUCUUGCACGUCAGGGUGAUUUUUGCAAGGGCACAGAAUACCCACAGCUAAGGAUACUGACAAGGGCCUAUGAUUUUGUAGUAAAGAAUUUUAAUGGUCUUCCCCAUUGCGCUGAUUCCCGUAGAUGAUACCAAGCCUUCAUUUUCCACAGUCCAUUGGAGUGUGGAAAAGUAGAAGAGCUAGUUAGAAGAUGCUUCAGAAAGGCCACGGGCAAUAAAGAGGAUCCUCAUUUAGCCUCAUUAACAUACCGGAUGGGAGCACUUUGGAGAAUUACUAUUUGCCUGCAGAACUUUUCAGGUACUAUAAACUACAGAUGAAUUAUUUUUUGCCGAAGAAGGGGUCAAGGUUAUAUCAUUUCAAAGACAGGAACAAAAUCACAUUAGCCUUUGCCUAAAAGGGACACGAAACAUCUGAUCAAAUUAAGUUUUUUUGAUCAAGGUUCAAACUCUUAACGGGUUCCCCCCUCACAAGGUACUUUCUGUACAUGCCGCCAGUAAGACAAUUAAUUUGACUUUCGUCGUCAUUAGUCUGGGAUUUCUCAAGGGUUAAAAAGCAGGUGGCUGUGUCAUGAGAGAGUCGGGACAGAUGGCAGGCAGACCCCACGGUAGGCUCAUUCGUCGGGUUCAGAUAACGUAUUUAAAAAGCGGUAUUUUCCCUGCGGUAGGGGCAGAAUUAAUUCAUCCUUGUUGGGAGCCCGAGGAAGAGUAUUUGGAUUGAAGCUAGCGAGCCGCGCAGCAAGCCGUGCGCUAGCUACGGCCCUUUCCCCAACAGUGACAGCAAAUGGCGGCCCCCGAGCACUCAGCGGCACGCGGGCGGCCCGGCCUUCUGCCCGACGGGCGCAAACGUCCCGGGGACACGGCGGUGACCGAGCGCAGGCGGCGGCGGGAGCGGCCCGCGGGCGGGCGGCGGGGGCUCGGGCGGCGGGCGGCGCGCGGCUGCCGCUAGGGGGCUGCCUGCCCCGCCGGAUGCGCCGUGCAGCCCGCGCGGCGGGGGCGGGGCGGGGGGCGGGAGCGGCGAGCGGGGGUCGCGCCUGCCGGGCCGCCCCUGCCCCCGUGCGUAACCAGCAGCGCAGCGAGCGCCGCGGUGCUCCCCGCGGCCGGGCCGAGGGCAGGUUCCCCGGGGCGGGCCUGCUGGCUUCUCGGGGCGGCUCUGCGGGAUAUGCCUUUAUCUUAAGGCCUGCCUUUUUCUGAGGACUUGGUCUUAAACAGCACUUUCUUUAUUCAACACACUGUGCAGUGAAAGGAGACAUUAAGUAAUGGUACUUUUACCUGCUGACAUGCAUCAAGACAGUUCACUUGUGGAAUAUUAGGAAGCCGACGGCUAUGCUCCUAUUUUCUCAGCACUAAUUUCAUUUCUUUCAAAAUACUGAUGAUGCAUCCUGUCUUCUCAAGGAAUAUAUCCAAACGGGUCCACAAAAAGCAAAUCAAAAAAGCAAGAAGCAUGUGAUGUUAAAAAUAUACCUUUAAUUGUUUAAAGAGAAAAAAAUUUGUGGGCAGGAGACUAGGUAAUGGUGUGAACAGAGGCAUUAGCAAGUGCUUCAUCCUCUGAACUUCUACUGAAUACACUUCGCUAUGAACAUUUUACUCAUCAGUCAUGUUCUGCAAGUUGAAGGACAGCAAUGUUUUCUCAGACUGAUCAAUUUACAAAAUAGGGAUUUUAUAUCACCCCAUUUAUUGUAAAGUGUGGAACACAGGCUAAGUGACUAAAAUUUUUUUUUGCAGAUGAAUAUUCAUUUAUUAUUAGACUAGGCAGAAGUGAAUCAAACUCUAAUGUGAAAAAGUCUGCUUUUUCUUGGUUUGAUUUCUUUCUCCACAAAAGUGUUGUUUGAAACAGUAGAGAUGGAAUCUUUCCUUAACUGAACAAGCUUUAAAAUGUAAUGUAAUGAUAGCUGCACAAAAAUGCUCUUAGUAGUUGUGUAUCAGUAGAUAAUCCUUUCAGAUUUGAAAAAAAGCCUUGUCCAAGUCUGUCUCAGUCUGUAAAUUAUGACCAUUUCAGAUAAAUUAAUAGAAAACCCUAACUUAUUAGGCUUUAGGUGAGGGCUCGCAAUAUGGUGUGGUGUUUUGUAAAUUGUAAUUCUCUAUAAAUUAAAUCUAUUCACAUACAUCUUCCAGAUGAAAGAGAAAUUUUAGUGAAAUAAAGAUCAGAAAGUAACAUGAAAGAGAUAUAAAUUUGCUUUAUUGCACCUAUUAAUGAAAAUAUGGACCCUGUGUGACUAGUAGCUGGGGACACAUUUAUUAAAUACUGAAGAAAAAAAGAAUUUCAGUACAAAAUUAUUCUGUGGAUGAUUCCUUUUAUCUGCCAUUGAAAAUUAUCUAGGACAGAAGUUCAGUACAGUGAGAUGCUUGUGUAAUAAGCAUGAAUGAAACGGUUCAGAAAGAAAAGGAAAGCUCAAAAAUUGUGUACUUCUUUCAUGCAUUUGACAAUAUCCAGUGAGGAAGGAGAAGUAGAGGGAGAGGGAGAGGACAUAUUCAAUUAUACAGCCCUAUAUGUGUGGGGCAGAAUUUUAGCAAAUGGUUACAGUUUUUGUACCGUUGAGGAAAGGAAAACCAUGGCACAUGGGCACUCUCUUACACCUGAAAUAGAAGCUGAACAGACACAUUGACAAGUGCAAUGUUUCAGUAUAUGAGUCAAAAUUUAUGGCAAGAGUAUAAACCAUACACAUUUCUUCCAAUUUAAAUUGAUUUUUUAAAUGUAAAGUCAUGUAAUUAAAGUUUUCUUUGUCACGAUAAAGAUGUUAAAACUUUCUGGAA